UCCAGGCUAGAGUUUGAUCAUCGGCUCAGAGGAGUCGGUAACAAGGUAACCAGUACAGUUUCAGACGGGUGAAUAAUGCCUAAGAAUCGGCCUGGUAGUGGGGGACAACGUUCCGAAAGGAGCGCUAAUACCGCAUACGUCCUACGGGAGAAAGUGGGGGAUCUUCGGACCUCACGCUAUCAGAUGAGCCUAGGUCGGAUUAGCUAGUAGGUGGGGUAAUGGCUCACCUAGGCGACGAUCCGUAACUGGUCUGAGAGGAUGAUCAGUCACACUGGAACUGAGACACGGUCCAGACUCCUACGGGAGGCAGCAGUGGGGAAUAUUGGACAAUGGGCGAAAGCCUGAUCCAGCCAUGCCGCGUGUGUGAAGAAGGUCUUCGGAUUGUAAAGCACUUUAAGUUGGGAGGAAGGGCAGUAAGUUAAUACCUUGCUGUUUUGACGUUACCAACAGAAUAAGCACCGGCUAACUUCGUGCCAGCAGCCGCGGUAAUACGAAGGGUGCAAGCGUUAAUCGGAAUUACUGGGCGUAAAGCGCGCGUAGGUGGUUUGGUAAGAUGGAUGUGAAAUCCCCGGGCUCAACCUGGGAACUGCAUCCAUAACUGCCUGACUAGAGUACGGUAGAGGGUGGUGGAAUUUCCUGUGUAGCGGUGAAAUGCGUAGAUAUAGGAAGGAACACCAGUGGCGAAGGCGACCACCUGGACUGAUACUGACACUGAGGUGCGAAAGCGUGGGGAGCAGACAGGAUUAGAUACCCUGGUAGUCCACGCCGUAAACGAUGUCGACUAGCCGUUGGGAUCCUUGAGAUCUUAGUGGCGCAGCUAACGCGAUAAGUCGACCGCCUGGGGAGUACGGCCGCAAGGUUAAAACUCAAAUGAAUUGACGGGGGCCCGCACAACCGGUGGAGCAUGUGGUUUAAUUCGAAGCAACGCGAAGAACCUUACCUGGCCUUGACAUGUCCGGAAUCCUGCAGAGAUGCAGGAGUGCCUUCGGGAAUCGGAACACAGGUGCUGCAUGGCUGUCU
rnacentral:rRNA from 1 species